AAGAAAGACAUUUUUCGGACAAUCUAAUAAAUCGAUUCCAAAUUUUACAAAUUACGCUAUUUUAUUUAACAUGUACAAUACAUACACGCAUAAAAGUUUUCGGACUACCAAUAAAUGUUCAAAUAUGCUCGCGAGCCACUGUCUUACAUCGAAGAUAAUAUCGAUGAAUCGUCAGUUUCUCAUGGAGAUUACAAUAUUCUAAGUAACGUAUGUCCGUCUAAUUCAAUUUUACGAUGCACUGUUGGAAAUUUAUAGGUUGUAAAAGGAAUGAGGAAUAAGUUUUAGUAACGCUGAGAUUGCAUGUUUCAGCGUUCAGCGGGGUAGAGUAACAUGGUUAUACUAGACCGUUCUUAAUUGCGAAACGUGUAAAUCUGUAGUUCUGAAGUAUGUGUUUGUUGGUUUCUGAUCGACGUAUGGAAACGGUUAAUCUGGUUACGCAUGCACACAGAUCUGCAGACGAAUUAAAUCUAUAUACUUCGAAUCCGUGUAAGUGCGACAAAUGAUUUCAAAAUAUUCGAAAGAUUGCUUUAUUUUGUUAUGCAGAGAGGAGGUAGUCUUUGCGUAGAAGAGAGUUCACUUCGUGUAAAAUUCGAUGAAUGAAAAAAAUCUCUUCUAGGUGUUGCAACAUCGUGUUAGACGAUCCUUCCGUGGAAAGUCGACAUCACACAGCCAGACUUCUCUCUCUUUCUCUCUUUCUGUCCGGAAGCAUUGUUUGUCUGGGAUGUUCUCCCAUUGGCGGUCAAAAAUCAAGAGAGAAAGUAUGCGAUAAUUGGCCAGAAAUACAUACCUAUGAUUCAAUACUGCAAUUGGCGUACGAUUUCCUAUCUGCGUGGAUCUCGUGUUUUGACAUUGAUGACUGGAAUUCUGUGUUCCAUAGCGAUCGACGUUCGUCUUAACGUAUACAGGAUGAGUGUACUACAAUUGAACAGGGACUUUUUCCUACGUAAAAAAAUAAGUGAAAAAUAUAAAAUAAAAUUUUGCCAUAUGACGCUUCGUUUCUAAAAAAAUCAAGUUUGAAUAUUAUAUAAUUUUUUAUUAACUACUACUUGGUUAAGUAAUAUAAUUAAUACUUGGUUAAGUUUCGAUUAGGUAUCAAUAAACAGUCAAUAGGAGGUUAUUAGAUUUUUAUAUAUUGUCUUAUUUUACUGUAUUAUGUGAAAAUAAGCCAAAAAUGUAAAAUAGAAUUCUUCCGUUUAUGACCUCAGUUUGAAGAAAAUAAAGUUUAAACGUGUAUAAUUACUGAUUCCAUAUAUACACACGCAUUUUCAAGAUUGUUUGUCUAAAAAAUAGAGCAUCUUAUGAAAAAAUUUAUUCUACAUUUUUUACUUACUUUCAAAUGUUUAAACAUGUUUUAAACACCUGUGAAUUAUUUAGUCUUAUUGAGACUGGAAUUAAGCAAAUUUCAAACAUUUAAGUAAAUUUUAUCAAAUCUUCAAAGUCGAUUUUCUCGAAAAUGAAGCCUCAGGUGAAAAAAUGUUACACCAAAAUUUCUUUUUUUUUUCUUUUAGUAUAGCAAAUAUCAGUAACUAUGAAAUGUUUUAAGCCAUUAAAUGAUUUAAUCGACCUUUACAGGCAGAUACGAAUUACAGAUAAAAAUACAUAUUAUAAUAUCUGUCUCAUUCCUUAUUUAUUACAUCCACAAAAUCCGAAAGCUCGGAGUGUUAUACUUUUACGUAACUCAAGUAUAGCGUAUCGGUUACUGUGACUUUUAUUCGUUUGUUUCAAUAUUUGGUGAGAACGAAUAAAUUUACAAAGGCUUGCUGUUACACAGUUUCUCCAUUAUUCUCGCUUUAAAGAAUCCAUUGUAAAUAACAUCCACUCUAAGAAAAGCACACCUCGUACAGACGUUCCAUCGACCGACCCAGAUAUCGACAAACUUUGAUUUAUUUCCGAUUUUCAUGUUGAAUGCAAACACCGUCAGGUAUCCAAAGUUGUGGAUAGAGGUAUCUCUGACAAACACUCCAAUUAUAAGUCUUGAUUCCCUAGCGUCUUUCACAGAACUUGUGCUAAUAAUCUGUGAAAGUUUCAGAUAUAUUUGAAACUUUGCUACAAAUGAAAAUCUAGAUAAGAAAAUUUAGUUUCUCGAAUAUGAGAGUAAUAAUUGCAAGUGUUUUUUAGUUAUUAGACGAACGAAGCGCGUGUGUGUUUUAAUCUACUAGUUAAAAAUUUAUUAAAAAAGAAUCAAUCUUAAUUAAGUCGAUUUUAAUUUUGGCAAAUGUAAAUAUAACACGACACGUUUCAAUUGAAACAUAGUCAAAACUUCAUAGCUCGAACCUCAAAGAAAGAGAUAAAGUCUUCGAGUUACGGAGCUUUCGACUUAUCGAAAUUAAAUUCCCGAAUAAAGGAAGCUUGACAAACGAAGAUUCGUCGUAUAGAAGCUUUAUACGAAGGUAGAAUUACGUUUACACCUUUUUAGAAAUUAUUAAUAUUUUAAGCUUCCUCUUGGAACUCAUUUUAUUCGACGUACGCAAAUGCGCAAGCUACAAACGUGGAAGAUGAUGGCAUUUACGUGUUCGACUGAUGAAUGUGCACGUGAUCGAAGGGCGAAGAAGUAUUAGGUUGUCCGAAAAGUAUCUUUCUUUUACAGACACAUCUUUUACAACGAUGCA